AUGACUAGUCUAAUGGGUAGAAAAAUAGCUUCUUUGUCAACUCAAUUGCAAAUGAAUGAAAAAGAAUUUCUGUGCCUUGACUGGAUGUGGCCGUAUCUCCCUCAGAAGAGGCACAGCUGGACUCUGAUGUGGACUAACUUCUACAGAGAGACUUUUCUUCGUAAAGGACAUUGCUUAUUAAUGGCUGAGUUCAAAGCAAACUUUAAAAAUUCCAAUCGAUUUCUCAUUUAUUACAUUUUGUUUUGUAAAAGAUUUUCUGCCAGUGAUUUCAGAAUGAAGGUGCCAAUAGUAAAAUAAUUGGUUUAUAAAUGGAAAGUUAAUCAGGCAUUCCCCUUUACACCAUCCCCUCCAAGGUCAGGGAUAUGACUGAAAUGCAAAGGAAACGCAGUGUACCAUUGGGAGAUGAGAGGUCUAUGUGAAAGGUCAUCAGCCUUAAGACUCUUUACAGAGAUAAGUGUUGAAGCAAAUGGCUUCAUGAGCUUUGGAGGAACAGGACAUAGUUGUACCUGGGAACAGAAGAAUGGUAUCUACAGUUAUAUUAAUUGGGAUAACAAUUAUGAAAGUACCAGAGGCCUCAAGUUUCAGAGCCCACACUAAUCCCCAGGAGUACUUUUCCCCUGGUGGAUAUAAUAUUGCUGUUUUCCAGGUGCAUUCCUAAGAUGAAUUACAUUUCUCAGGCUCACUUAGUAUAGGCCACUAUCAGGAACAGGAUUUGGGGGUUGCCAGAAGUUUCUUUGGUUUCAUCCAGACAACUCUCUGCUUUCCUGGAGUGUCAGUGAACUUGAUGGAAAGGGUCAAAGCUGACUUGACUUUUAUCUGGAAGUAUGAGCUCUGUGUCAUGGUUUCAGUGAAACACAAGGCAGUUUGUUAGGGCUCAACAUGGUCUUUGAGAUUCUUCUCUACUUCUUCAUCUGCCACCCUGACUGGCUCCACACUUGUUCUCUAGAAGACUGACUCAGAGGUCUACCAUGGUAAGCAUGGAAACAGAGUAGAAGGAUCUGGAAUAACUACUGGCCUCCUGCUUCCUGAAAGGAUUCCUGUUUGCAUGAUGAUAAUGUGUUUCUUUAAGAUGUUGACUCACAUGUAGCUGCGUCCUGCCUAGAGACAGGGUCUGCUGUGUUGAAUGGCUGCUUUAGAUUUUCAUGGCCUUCUAUUGAACAUAGAUUAUGUUUUCCUGGAAAACAGAACAUGAAAAUAGUUGGUAAUUCUUCCAUAAACUGAGCUGAAUUCCAAGAACAGCAUGUAGGUAAUCCUACCUGAUUCAGCUUCAGAGCUCUACUUUGAAUUUUUGUUGGUGGCAACAGAGCCCGUCAUGAAAAACAGCAUACUUCACCUUUGAAAAUGAAGAGUUACCUUAAUAAAAGGGCAGAUAGGUUUUAAAAAGUUGUUGUU
rnacentral:lncRNA from 1 species